AGAUUUAAAAAUGCAGCAGCUGCUACUGGAGCUCCAAGAACAGAUGUGAGAAGGAACAAGAACCACAUCGUGAGAAGGAUGUCUUUAAGUCAUGCUGCAGGAGAAGAUACGUGUUAACGCUGAGGAGUUAAAACAGCAACAGACAUGUUUUACAAAAAAAAAAAAAAAAACCCUGAAUGAUCUGAGGCAAAUGCAAUAAUCCCUCAAGCCUUGGGAUGGUUUAAAAACUUUAAUCUCAAAUUUCACUCAUAAAUGCAUGGCCACAGGGAGAGAAAUUUUCAGAUAAAAAAACACACUUGGAAGCAUUGAAGACUCCACAACCUUAUCAGUGAUGCAGGGAGAGGUUUAAAAUUUGAAGUUUCAAGCAAAAUUUUUCUUUUUUUUAUGUAAAUGUAAAGAAAGUUCUUCUUUCAGCUGCACAUUUGAAGAUGAAUGUCACAGAAAGCUUUGCUGAGAAAGUAAACAACUAAAACCAAACGAAGAAUUAACCGAAAGAAAAUUUAUAGACGUUAAAAUACUAAUGUUAGUUUAGAAAUCACUGAAAUACAUUAAAGAUCUGUUGUUGUUGUUGUUGUAUCAACCUUCCAGACCUCUCAGGUUCUGGUUCUGAUCUGAAGAACCAGAACCAGAACCAAACAUGGUGAAGCAGCAUCCAGCUUCCACAAAUUAGGAACAAACUUCCUUAAAACUUCAAAACAGCUGAAACCCUGAGUUCCUUUAAAUAAAGCCUAAAAACUCACCUCCUUUGAUUAGUAAAGUCAUUGAUCAAUUUAUUUGACAUGUAUU